GCCCGGGUGGCGGAAUUGGUAGACGCGACGGAUUCAAAAUCCGUUGUCCGCGAGGACGUGGGGGUUCGAGUCCCCCCCUGGGUA
rnacentral:tRNA from 1 species